rnacentral:rRNA from 1 species
GACGAACGCUGGCGGCGUGCCUAACACAUGCAAGUCGAACGGGGAGUUACUUGUAACUCCUAGUAGCGAACGGGUGAGUAACGCGUAGACAACCUGCCUCUAAAUUGGGGACAACACCGCGAAAGAGGUGCUAAUACCGAAUGUGGUAACUUGAUCGCAUGAGCGAGUUAAGAAAGAUGGCCUCUAUUUAUAAGCUAUCGAUUAGAGAUGGGUCUGCGUCUGAUUAGCUAGUUGGUGAGGUAAUGGCUCACCAAGGCGACGAUCAGUAGCCGGUCUGAGAGGAUGAACGGCCACACUGGGACUGAGACACGGCCCAGACUCCUACGGGAGGCAGCAGUGGGGAAUCUUCCGCAAUGGACGAAAGUCUGACGGAGCAACGCCGCGUGAGUGAAGAAGGUCUUCGGAUUGUAAAGCUCUGUCGUUUGGGACGAACGUGCUUUGUGUGAAUAAUGCAGAGUAAUGACGGUACCAAAGGAGGAAGCCACGGCUAACUACGUGCCAGCAGCCGCGGUAA